CUUGGUCAUUUAGAGGAAGUAAANGUCGUAACAAGGUUUCUGUAGGUGAACCUGCGGAAGGAUCAUUAUCGAAUCGUAGGUGAGGGUUGUUGCUGGCCUCUCGGGGCAUGUGCACGCCCGAGCCCUUGAAUCCCAAACACCACAUGUGAACCCACCGUAGGCCUUCGGGCCUAUGUCUUAUCAUAUAAUCCGAAUGUCUAAUAGAAUGUAAACCCAUUUCGUUGCCUUGAAAACGUAACGAAAGAAAACUAUACAACUUUCAACAACGGAUCUCUUGGCUCUCGCAUCGAUGAAGAACGCAGCGAAAUGCGAUAAGUAAUGUGAAUUGCAGAUUUUCAGUGAAUCAUUGAAUCUUUGAACGCACCUUGCGCCCCUUGGUAUUCCGAGGGGCAUGCCUGUUUGAGUGUCAUUAAAAUCCUCAACCCCUCCGAUUUGUUUCGGUGGCGUGCUGGCGAAGGUCGGCUCCUCUUUAAAUGCAUCAGCGGAGAAAAUGCCUUUUGCGCCUCUGGCUGUUCAGCGUGAUAAUGACGUUGCGCUGCGGUCGAGCUUAAGGUCCGCUUCCAAAGGUCCUCUCGGACAAAUAUACAUAUGACUUUUGACCUCAAAUCAGGUAGGACUACCCGCUGAACUUAAGCAUAUCAAUAAGCGGAGGA
rnacentral:rRNA from 1 species